rnacentral:tRNA from 1 species
AGUUUAUGAACUUGAAUAAGUAUAUAUUUUGAAAAUAUAAAAUAGGAUACACCCUAUAAACUU